AAAUAAAUUUUUUAUGAUUUAAAUAUUUUUUUUUAAAUUUAUUUUACAUAUAAAUUAUAGUAUAAAAUUUUAAUUAUUUAAAUAAUAAUUAAUUUUAUUUGUAGUAAUUAGCAUUAAAAAUUUAAGAAAUUAAGAUUUAUUAAUAUUAAAAUUAAUAACAAAUUUUGUGCCAGCAGUUGCGGUUAUACAAAAAUUAAAUUAAAUUUUAUUAGUGAUUAAUAAAUAUUUAAAUUAUAAUUAAUUUAAAUAUUGAAUUAUUAAGUAAAAUUUUAAUUUAAUUAAAAAUUAUAUUAAUAUUAUUAUGAUUUAAUAAAUUUUGAUUUAAACUAGGAUUAGAUACCCUAUUAUUAAAAAUUUAAAUAGAAAUACUAAAAUAGUAUGUAAUUAUUUAUUGAAACUUAAAUAAUUUGGCGGUAUUUUAGUUCAUUUAGAGGAAUCUGUUUAUUAAUUGAUAAUCCACGAAUAAUUUUACUUAAUUAAAAAUUUUGUAUAUCGUUGUUAGAAAAAUAUUUUUACAUGAUUUUAAUAUUUAAAAAUUAGAAUUAAAAAUUAAAUCAGAUCAAGAUGCAGAUUAUAGUUAAGAAUAUAAUGGAUUACAAUAAAUUUAUUUAAACGGAUUAUUAAUUGAAAAAUUAAAUUGAAGGUGGAUUUAAAUGUAAUUUUUAUUAAUUUAUAAUAAUGAUUAAAAAUUAAAAUAUGUACAUAUUGCCCGUCGCUUUCAUUUAUAAAUUGAAAUAAGUCGUAACAAAGUAGAGGUACUGGAAAGUGUUUCUAGAAACAA
rnacentral:ncRNA from 1 species